CAGCAGCCGCGGGAAUACGAAGGGGGCUAGCGUUGCUCGGAAUUACUGGGCGUAAAGGGAGCGUAGGCGGACAUUUAAGUCAGGGGUGAAAUCCCAGAGCUCAACUCUGGAACUGCCUUUGAUACUGGGUGUCUUGAGUGUGAUAGAGGUAUGUGGAACUCCGAGUGUAGAGGUGAAAUUCGUAGAUAUUCGGAAGAACACCAGUGGCGAAGGCGACAUACUGGAUCAUUACUGACGCUGAGGCUCGAAAGCUAGGGGAGCAAAUGGGAUUAGAUACCCCCGUAGUCCCUGUCUCUUAUAC
rnacentral:rRNA from 1 species